CAUCCUCAUUCUCCAGGUGGACGCCUGAUUUCUUCUAAUUCUUUGUCCUCAUUCUCCAGGUGGACGCCUGACUUCUUUAAUUCUUUACCAGGUAUUUCCUGACACAAAUAUUGUAUUUGCCCCUGUUUUAAAUCAAAGAAAACUUCGUUAGUUUAAAGCAGGGUGGCUGGCUGUGGUAUUUUUGCCGAUGGUGAUGUUUCUCUUCGUCUCUCUUUAUUGCCUUGGAAUGAUUGAAAAGACUGUUUUGUCUUUGUAAUUGAUCCUUGACUAUAGGAUUCCCUUCUGUGUGUUUUCCUUCAAAAUCUUUCAACUGUAAUCAUGUGCCUCUUUUGACUUUGCUGAUCCUCUUUUGAUUUCAUCUUUCUUGCACCCGUACUUUUAUCUCCCACCUUUCGUGGCUGUAUUUUGUAACCUUGAAUCUUGGUAGUAUACCUUGACAUUCUUUCUUAUUUGUUUGGAAUAAAACUUAUCUCAAAGCUUGGAAAAA
rnacentral:lncRNA from 1 species